CGCAGCCGCGGUAAUUCCAGCUCCAAUAGCGUAUAUUAAAGUUGUUGCAGUUAAAAAGCUCGUAGUUGAAUUUCGAGAUCAAUUUGUUGGUCGUGCCUCGGUACGUACUGGCAAUUUUGAUUUCUCCCUUCUGAAGAACCAUGAUGUCAUUAAUUUGGUGUCAUGGGGAAUCAGGACCGUUACUUUGAAAAAUUAGAGUGUUUAAAGCAGGCUCGCGCUUGAAUACAUUAGCAUGGAAUAAUGAAAUAGGACGUUUGAUUCUAUUUUGUUGGUUUCUAGGAUCGACGUAAUGAUUAAUAGGGAUAGUUGGGGCAUUAGUAUUCAAUUGUCAGAGGUGAAAUUCUUGGAUUUAUUGAAGACUAACUACUGCGAAAGCAUUUGCCAAGGAUGUUUUCAUUAAUCAAGACGAAAGUUAGGGGAUCGAAGACGAUCAGAUACCGUCGUAGUCUU
rnacentral:rRNA from 1 species